AAUGACAAUUCUGCGGUCGAUGGGACGCAGCCCCCGAGUGUCGGGUGCGUCCAAUGACAAGUUUGCGGUCGAUUGCACGCAGCCCCCGAGUCUCGGGUGCGUCCAAUGACAAGUUUGCGCUCGAUUGGACGCAGCCCCCGAGUCUCAGGUGCGUCCAAUGACAAGUUUUGGGAUCGAUCUCUCAGUUCUGAGUAUGAUGUGAUCGCAACAACGUAAGUAAAAGGAAAAGACUCUGAGUAGAGGAGCAUAAAUAUUUUUAUUACGUACCGAUUGUAACAUCCCAAAAUUUCAAACCUUUACAUGAGCAUUGCAUCCAUGAGCAUCAUGCCACAAUUGCAAGUUUGAAUUCAAAUUUGAAUCCCAAAAAGUCUUUAAAAGUGUUUAUUUCAACUUGAACCUUAGGGUUUUACACCCAUUUGAGCUUUGGAUCUUCAAACCAAUAGGUUUUAUGUAUAAAAGGGGUUUAAUGCAUAUAUAAGCUAUCCCAUAAUUUUUGGAUAAUUAUUUGGAGUUGAAAAAGUAUUUUAUCUAGAUAGAUAUAUAGCCCUAGAGCCAUUUAUAGGGCAAAUGUAUUUUUAUAUAUUUUAUUUUGAGGGCAAACUACUUCCAAAAGUUGUAUCAUGGUAGAACAUGAUUUUACAAAUUUUCUGGGAUUUAUUUGGACCAAUUUGGAGUUCAAAAUCAAAAGAUAUCAAAGGAAUAAGAAAAACAGAAAAAGAAAAGGGUAAAAGAAAAAAAAAGAGCAAACGGACCGGCCCGGCCGAAUUGGGCCGAACCGGCCCAACUCCUCGCGCACGCCCGCCUCCCAGCCAGCCCAGCGCCUGCGCCCACGCGCCCGCACCCGCUGACAGGUGAGGCUCACCCGUCAGGGGCUUCUUCCCCGGAAGGAAAGCCCCCGCGUCCGCCGCGCGCCUUCCUUCUUCGCCGCCGCGCGCUCACCGCCGGAUUCCCCUCGCUCCGUCCCUUAAUCCUCGAGCCCGAGCACGUCCAUAAAUAGCCCAUGCCCUCCUCUCUACUUCCCCCUUGUUUCCCCAGCCAAUCGCGCCGCCAGGCCGCCCCAAUUCUUCGCCGGAAAACCUUUGGCCGCCGCCGUUUCUCGCGCCUCUCCGACGAGCCACGAGGUUAGAGCCUACCCAUCUCGUCCUUUCUUCUUCCCC
rnacentral:lncRNA from 1 species